ACAAACACAUAUAUACAAACACAAAUGAAAUAUAUAUAUAUAUAUAUAUAUAUAUAUAUAUAUAUAUAUAUAUACACAAUAUAUUGCACCCAUAUAUACACACACUAUGUAUAUAUAAAUCAAGACUCAAAUAGCAAGCCAACAAAGCUCAUGCUAAGGACCCCAUCACCUGAUAUUAGAAUAACAAACAAUUCAACCAAGAACAUCACAAAACCAGCACCCGAAACCCAGAACAUCA